UAAUCGGCAUCGUUGACUCAAUCUAGAAAGGAAUAGUAACAGCUUAUAUUGCUUUUGAAACUGGCUGAUAGCAUGUGAUCAACAGUCCCAAGAGAUGGACACCAUUAAUUUUUACAAAUAAGGAACAGACUCACAGAGUUUGAGAAACUUUGGGAUCACUCAACUAGUAGGAGUUCAGUCCGGAUUUAGAACAAGGGACUAUCUGCUUUUAGAGCCCAAGACCUUAACAUCUCAUUCCUCAACUCAUUAAAUGCGGAAGGUUCACUAACCACGUGCAGGGCGGGGUGCUAGCCCCUGGGGAUACAAAAUGAUCAAGAAAAGGACGCCAUCAUACUAAAUCAGUAAAGGAAACAGAUAAAGAAAUCCUCAUAAAACAGCGGAUUGGGUGGGACGAUAACAAUCUGUGCUUGGUACAGAGGUAGCUCCUGGGAAGGGAAGAACUCAGACCCAGAAAUCAGAAACGCAAACUGGCAGUGGCAGGCGAACCUGACGCCUGCAGGGCUGCGGCGAAACCGCGUAUGCCACACCGAGGGAAUGGCAGCUGGAAAGAGAGGCACGCGACAGGCCUAAGGAGACCCGUGGCACGUAGCAGCUGCCCCCGGAACAGCGCCUGGGGGCUCUGCAGGCGCUGACCAGUUUCCCGGAGGCGGCGGCCGCGGACCCAGCACGGUCACCGUCGCCGCUGCCGAGAAGAGCCGUCGGGUCGCGAUGGGUGGACAGGCCUUCCGGGGGAGCGUCGCCCGGCACAUACCCUGACAGUCCCGACCGCAGACGCCAGGGAUGGGACAGGCUCCCGGGGAGCAUCUCCUGUUCCUCCUCCCUGACCGGCCUUCUUAGGCGCUGGGGAGGGGCCGGACUCCCGAGAAGCGUCCACUCGGCCACCCUCCCCGGCAGGCCCGACUUCAGACGCCGCGCGCCGGGACAGAGCGCCCGGGGAGGGUCCCCAACGCAGAUGCCCGGUUGCUGGGCGCGAGGGGCUCGGCCCCUGAAAAGGCCGCAGAACUGCGCUGGAAAUGAAUAAAAGCAGCCCGGUUUGAAACCAAGGCCGACGCAGGGCUUGGGAGGAGAGGCAAAGGAAAACCCUUACCUCAUGAUGGCAGCGCUCUGCAGGCCGUCCGGGCGGCGCAGUCCCUCGGAUCGCUCUCUCCUCAGCACCGGGGACCGCGGGAAGCCGCGCGGUGGGCGUGCGCGUGCGCGUGCGCGCGCCAGGCCUCUGCAGCCCCUGGACUCGGCCGCGCGGCGUGUCUUUGUUAAAGGAGAGACCCCAGCCCCAGCAAGAACAGGAAACUGGAGAUUGAAUCAGAUGCCGAGCGCUCAGAAACUGAAACUUAAGAAAUCGAAACUAAACGUAAGCUUCAGAAACCGAAACUUAAUAGAAGAGCUCAAGAGCCGCGGCCAGACGUUUGCGGAGUCCAGGGUCUUUCGGAGUUGAAUUUGCAGCUGGGCUCCUUCACUUUGGUCUCGGCUUUUAUCUGCCUCCCUGAGUACGCUGAGUUCGCAUGCUGCCCGUGUAACUGUUUGUUUGUUUGUUUGUUUGUUUGAGAUAGCGUCUCACUGUGUCACCCAGUCGUGAUCUCAAGGGAUGCGCCCGCCUCUGCCUCCCAAGGUGCUGGGAUUACAGGCGGAAACUUAAGUCCCUGCUUCCACUCCAGUCUUUUGAUUCAACAAGCAACACUGCAAUGCUAUACAUCUAUGCUGUUAUUUCUGUUGGGUGUAAACUGAGAAAUUUGGAGCUAAAAUCUAUAUACAUUUUAAGUUUUGACGGAUAUUGCCAAAUAGCUUUAAAAAUCCACUCUUACCCACAAUUGUAGGAGACUGCUUCUCUUCCAUACCUUCGCCAAUGGUGCUUUGUAAUAAGGACCCAAUAAAGACAAGAGUGGUAUUGGGGAUCUAGGCAGAAAAUGUCAAACACCCAUACCUUAAACAUUUUGUCCCCUUUGAAUUCAUUCAGCAAAUAUUGACAAACAACUGUAAGAGCCAGACUUUGUUCAAAGUACUGUCAAUAUAACAAUAAAGAAAACAGACACGGGCCUUA
rnacentral:lncRNA from 1 species